rnacentral:lncRNA from 1 species
GGGAGUCUUUAAAUUGUGGCAACUAGAAAUUAACAACAGGACCCGUAAUGGCCACAAGCUUUUAUUCUAUAGCUGUAUUUGACUCUUGGGCUGCAGUAAUGAGCAGGUAGACACUAGCAAUUAGUUCUCUUAAAUGUGUCAAAUAUGUUGAUAAUUAUACUUUACACGUAUACAGAACUUAGUUUACAAAGAACCGCAUCUCUUCUCUCUAUUGAUCUUCUGAACAUAUGCAGGGCAGGUAUGAUUAGCCCCACUUUGCAGAUGAGGAAACUGGUGCCAUAGUGGUUAAAUCACCUGCGCUACAUCCCUCAGGUAACAGUGGUAGGGAUAGGACUUUAACCCUCUUAUCUCUUAUCUUAUCCAGCAAAUUUUCCAUGUCUGGAUUGUACUUAACCCAGCAGUUUCCGGGGAUGAGCACAACCAGUGGAUGUAUUUUUGUUGUUGUUGUUGUUGCUCCUUUUCCAAUCGGGUGAGGUCCUGGAUUGGGUGGGUUAGUCUUUUUUUGACAUCAGUUUACCAAUCUGUGUAAUGGGAUGUAAACACCACCCAUCAGUGAGUGAAUCUUUUUUUGACAUCAGUUUACCAAUCUGUGUAAUGGGAUGUAAACACCACCCAUCAUGAGUGCACUUAGAGCAGAGGAGGUUGUGAGCAUUCAGAACUUCAAAAACAAUUUCUGAGGGAAGAUGUUUGGAAGGGACUUUGAUGUCUCUGAUUCAUUUUCCAUAAAAUGAAUUAAAUGGUACCUUCCCUGGUCAUGCUAAAAUGGCAUCUCUGUUACUUCAUUAUCCUGCAUCCUGUUUCUUCACAGCAUCCACUGCCAUUUAUUAUAUAUUUGUUUGUUUAUGGCAUGUCUGAAUCCUCCCACCCAAAUGUGAUAGCCUUGAGAGCAGGGAUUUGGUUUUCCUGCACCCCUGAAUCGCUAACAGGUUGGAACCGUGCCAGGCACAAACAACCAUUUGCUGAGUGAAAGAACAAAGAAGUGAAUCUGAGCUAUGUAAUGAUUGAAAGUAAGCUUGAUAUUUGGAUGAUUGAAAAAAGUCUGCUUGAGUGUUCCUUGCUGUCUAACAGAGGGGUCUCGGUCUGGCUUUCACAGAUCCAUUUCUGUGUCAGCCAUCCAGUGGCUUAAAACCAAUCCCUAAAGCCUUGAGUACCAAUUCAUACCUGGGUGAAAUAGGUUCAAUAACCCAGGUCCAUGCAGCAGACAUAGGUCGUUGUAUUGCACUGUGUGCCUCUGCAUUGAAUUGGCCUGGGAGCAGCUUGAGGCCUGGGGCUGGUCUCCUUCACUGUUCAGUCCCAAGUAGUUAUUUAUCAUAGAGCCUGGCCCUCAGAGAGGUAAAAGACAUGUUUGCUGAAUGAAUGAAUAUAUAGAGGAAACAAGCACAGGGCUCUUAAUCCCCCUCAAAGCUAAGGUCUCCAUUUGAGAAGAAGCUUGGUUCAUGGCAAACACAUUACUCUUUCAACUAAAAUCAAAUCUCUCCAGAGAUAAGGAGGCACUAAACAACUGGUGUCCUAACCCACUGCAAGGAAAGGCAAACCUAGGCUCCAGAUCCAGUUCCAUGCCAUGUUUUGGAAUUUGUGUUUACGUCUGCCUUCAUCCCCAUCCUUUCCGCUCUAGCAUAAGCAAAAUUAUAACCCCGCACACUGACUUGCAGGCAAUUAUCAGAGCCCUGGUGCUCCUCCGUUGAGGGACUUCGCCCCCGAGACCGCUGACUGUAUGUGAAUAACAAAUCAAAAGUCAGGGUUGCAGAAUCAGCCGGACUUUCCCGCUCCUUUGCAGCAGAGGGAGGAAGCAGAGAAUGAAAGAUUCUGAAAAUAAAGGUAAGGGGCUGACUGCAGAAGGGAGGCUAAAAGAUGCUAGAGAUAAGAUGUCACUCUACAGACAUGUGUAGUAGGUGUUAUAUGGCUGAUUUAAAAUUACCGUGCAGAUAUUAUUUAAAAAUUCUAGUUAUAUAAUAAACAUGACUUUUAAAAAUAACCAGCUCUGCUUUCCAAGUAUUGUGUCAUUCAGUUUUCCAUUUUUGUGCUACUAAAUAUAACAUCUUUGCAUCCUUCAUUUAGUCUUGGCUGAGUAACACUAUUUACAUUUCAUAGAUUUCCUUAUAAUAGCUCCCUUUUAUUUGGGGAGUGUUCACAAUAGUUCAUUGAUAUGUAGACUUUUAAUGUAUUAUUAGAACUGCAACAUCUGAAAUACUUAGGACUUUUUACAUUUUGGGUUCUCUAGAAAAACGCUGACCCAAGAAUCCUUUCAUGAACAUUAACCUUUUCAGGUGGAUCCAAAGGGAAGACGUCACUGACCUUCAAAAACUGUUGAUCUUACAGAGAUAAUCAGAUGCCAACUCCCCCACUUUGCAAGCCUCCAUCCCCUAGAUCCUUGGCAUCUCCCCCCACCCCACCCCCAAUCCUCCCCUCAUCCUUAAUUCUGCUUGAGGCAAGGGGAAGGCGAGAAACAGAUUUAAAGGAAAACUCAGCAAAGAACAGAGUUCUCUAAAAUUAGCCAGCCAAAUGUUAAGUUCAACGACAAGGGUUCUGGAGGAUUCUGGGGUUUUAAGUUCCGAGGCGCCUUACAUUUUCUGCCGCAGUUGGGGGAGGAGCGAUAAAUCCCAAGGUCUCAGGAGGCUGCACGUGUUCCCGGAUCCUGUUUCCCGGAGGGAGCUCUUCCUUGGUGCCGCGUAGGGGCUGCUCCUGGUCCGGGUGCAGGAGGAGGGCGCAGAGCGGCCGGGCUCCGGGCGAAAGCUCCGGGGCAGCCGCUGCGGCAGAGGACGCCAUCUCAGCGCCUCCUGGCCCAGCCUCUGCUUCCCCUGCGCUAAUUUUAGGCUUGUCCUACCCCCCUCCCCUUCUCCCCAGCGGGCGGUCACUGAUCUGACUCCGGAGCCUCUCCUCUCAGUGGGUUGAGGAGGCCUCAGCACUUUGCCCUUGGCCGCCAGACUUGGGUGCUCGGGUGGAGGUGGCACGCAGCAGCGGGCAGGUUACCGGCGCCCUCCGAGCCUCCCCAACGCUGGAGCUAAGCUGCUCGGAAGCUUGGUGAGACCGCACAGGUCCCCCGCCUUGUCCUCACUGCACGCAGGGUAGCCAGCAGGGCCUUCUGCAGCCCAGUCCCCAGCCACGCACUCUGGCGUGUUAUAAGAUUCUCGCCUUGUAUUUAUUCCAUAUUAGAAACAAAAAGCAGCCAAGCAAACAAAUCAUAGCCACACAGCCAGAUGUCCGUAGGAAGACUGGUAUUUUAAUCUGCCAAACUGUUUGUAAGGAAGCAAUCCCACUUUGAGGUUUUAAAAGCGGCCGUGGUAGCCGGUGUCGGUAGUUUUAACAUGGAACAGGCUCUGGAUCAUUCACAUCCACGUAUCGAUCUUUGUGGUUUUGAUGUUUAAAUUUUAAUUAAGCAGCCUUAGCAGAGAGGGAAACAGAUUUGCAUGGCCCUGGUAAUGGCCAAGAGGGCUUAUCCACUGCUGUUGCUAAGACAGGCUCUCAUGGACAAAUAAAACUGUGUGUGUAAUCAAAAUAUUUUAAAUGAACGCAGAGAAUGUUGGCUUUUCCUGUUUUUUUUAAGCCACCGGAGAAAGGGUUUCUCCAAAGAAAAAAUGUGCUUAUGUGCCAUAUCAGGCUAAGCCAGGGGCAGGGUUUAGAAAAAGUGAAGAAUGCCUUAACUGGAGGCCCAGGUUGAGGUUAAUAUUCACCAUGAUUUGGAAUUGAACACUGUUUCUCAGUGGAUCACAAUGCUUUAAGCUUCCAAUCCCAGCUGCUUUUUUGAGAGGGGGUGGGAUUUAGAAUUUUUGUUUCACUUCCAUUUGGAAGGAGCCUUUGGUUGGAAGUCAGGAUGGUCAGCUUCUGGCUUGUUUUGCCACUAACUCAUUAGUGACCCAGCACAGGCCCUUUAUAUCUUUGGAUCUGUUUCCUUAUCUCUAAAAUGGACACACGUUAGACGAGAUCACUGUUCUUCAGCUUGAAGGUGGUAAGAAAGCAGUUUAGUGAGACUCAAGCAGUAUUUUAGAAAGAUGAAAUAGAAUAGAACAUGUCAGAAACCACUGCCUAUGGGACACAUAAAUAAUUCUUUCCUGUAAUUUCCGUUUUAGACAUUUAUGUUUUUGUAUGUGGAUAUGGGCUCUAUGGCUGUCAGGUCUGUUUCUCACUGUGAAUCCCAAUCAGAAGACUUUGAGGAACACUGAAAUCAAUCAUAGCUUCUUAGUUUGUCAAGGCAUCGAUGAAAUGCAGUUUUAGAUGAACAUCCUUUUUUAAUACGAUGAGGAUGUCAGUAGUUGUCCUCAAAAUUUCAAAGCAGUCUAAGACCUCAAACAGGAUAUGAACUAUUGUGUUUUCCCCCAAGGCUGUUCCAAGCUAACUUUACUUAGAGAUCAAAGAAUCCUUUCAGGGCUUGGAGAUGGGUUUGUGUUGACCACAACAAGCAGAGUGUGAGAUGUGAGAUGGAGUGUGUGUGUGUGUGUGUGUGUGUGUGUGUGGAUGUUGAGGAGAAGUUGUGACCAUGGUAACCAGACCCUGAAAGCUAUUUGUAGGUUCCAGAGUGCCAGUUGCUGACCUGAAUAUGAAACAUAAAUAUCUAAAAUUUAGAGUCUUUGUGCUGAAAAGUACAACAGAAAAGCCAUUAACAUAUUGUACAUUGGAGUUCCGGUCGUGGUGCAGUGGAAAUGAAUCCGACUAGGAACCGUGAGGUUGUGGGUUCCAUCCCUGGCCUCGCUCAGUGGGUUGGGGGAUCCGGCAUUGUUGUGAGCUGUAGGUCGCAGAUGAGGCUUGGAUCCCACAUUGCUUUGGCUCUGGCAUAGGCUGGCAGCUACAGCUCUGAUUAGACCAAUAGCCUGGGAACCUCCAUAUGCCACGGGAGCAGCCCUAAAAGGGUAAAAGACAAAAGACAAAAAAAAAAAAAAA